GAUGAACGCUGGCGGCGUGCCUAAUACAUGCAAGUCGAGCGAAGCGGGGACGGUUGAGUAACACGUGGAUAACCUCCUAUAAGACUGGGAUAACUUCGGGUAACCCGAGCUAAACCUGAUACUUAUGGAUCGCUCCUCGCUGCAUUAGCUAGUUGGUAAGGUAACGGCUUACCAAGGCCACAAUGCAUAGCCGACCUGAGAGGGUGAUCGGCCACACUGGAACUGAGACACGGUCCAGACUCCUACGGGAGGCAGCAGUAGGGAAUCUUCCGCAAUGGGCGAAAGCCUGACGGAGCAACGCCGCGUGAGUGAUGAAGGUCUUCGGAUCGUAAAACUCUGUUAUUAGGGAAGCGGUACCUAAUCAGAAAGCCACGGCUAACUACGUGCCAGCAGCCGCGGUAAUAC
rnacentral:rRNA from 1 species